GGAUGUGAGGGCGAUCUGGCUGAGACAUCUGUCACCCCAUUGAUCUCCAGGGUUGAUUUACCUGAUCUGGCUGGCCAGGCGGGUGUCCCCUUCCUCCUCAAUGCUCCAUGUGUGUCCCUCCCGAAGAUGAGCUCUCGGGGGAAGAGGACGAUCACCCCAGAUAGAGGAGGACAGUUCCUCGGUCAAGGGUAUAGGAGUAGCUGCGCUCCCUUGCUAGAACUUCCAAACAAGCUCUUGAACACACAGUUCUCCUUUACCCUGUGGCCUCUUAAUUCUUAGACUAAACUAUCCUUGUAAGAUUUUU
rnacentral:sRNA from 1 species